UGUUUGACAAUUCUCUUAGCAACCGUCAUUCGUAAAUUCUGUUAGCCUUUUGUAAACAAUUGUAUUAAAUUUUAGCUUAUUUAAAUUAAAUUAAAUUAUUUAUUGUUUGUUUUCAUGUUUUUCGCAUCAAACUAAUUGAUAUUUUCAGAUCUCCAAAAAUCUUGGUCCUUCUGAUCUCCAAAAAUCUUUGUCCUUCUGAUCUCCAAAAAUCUUGGUCCUUCUGUUUCCAAAAAUAAGGAAUAUGUCAGCUGACGGAUCUCAGAAGAAAUUUUCAAGGAAAGUCUCAGCACUAAGAAAAAAGUCAUUUGUUUCUUUGGCAGUUUUAAUUGCAGACUUUGAUCAAAUGAAGCACCUCUGUGAAGACCUACGAUCAAGACGUUACUUUUCGCCAACGGAAAUUGAUAACAAUGUUCUAAACCGUCUUCAGUUGGAGGCUAUGAACAAAAUCAAGAAUGGCAGCAUCCCGAACAAACUCGGAAAAGAACUUGCCGACUACCUAUGCAAAAUUUAUUUAGAACUGUACAAAUUUCUGAACAAAAAAACUGCGCUUUUAAGAGAAAAAAGUAACUUGAAACAGUGCAUUGUCUUUAAUGCCGACGGAUCCAUAAAUCAUUGGAGAACUCAUAAAAAAAUAAUAAAUAAUCCUAAUCUGAGUUUCAAAACAAGAUCUGAGUGUCAAAACAAGUUCUGCCAGUGCUUGUAAAUUGCAACCCAUUAUCCAGAGACAUGGUAUAAAAGAUGUAAAAGCAUAUGAGGUUUUUCAUAAAAUUUAAUUUCUGUUAUGGCAGUUAGAAAUCUCAUUUUGUAAUGAUAAUGGGAAGAAAAAAAAAAACCCUCUUAAUAGCUGAAGACAACAACAGAUGAUGAAGGUGAGCACACUCUUGCUGUUUAAAGCAAUCCUGUAAUAGAAUUGAAUCUCAUUUUUGAUUCUUCACAGCAGCGAAACAAUUUUAAAAAGAACAUUCAGUGAGAAUUAAUAAUAUUUUUAUAAUGGAACAGCGAUGCCAUAGAAUCUUAAUUAAUCUAUUGAAAUUAUCGAUAAAUUUGAGUAGAUACUAUGGAUUAUUUCCAUAAUUAAUCGAGAAAUUAUAGGAAGUGUCAAAAUAGUGUCGAAGUGUGUAUUUAAAUUCUGUGGACAAAGUUUAUUGCAUGUUUGCGAUUUAAAAAUCUGCUUCCAUAUCUUCUAAGUUAUUUCUUUCAGCUUGGAAAAAUGGGAUUUACUUUUUUCAGUAUUUUCAUCGAUGAUUUUAAGUGUUUCAUAUAUUAAUUGGUGUUAUAUUUUUUAUUUACUACCUUAUAUAUACAUUUGAGAAUAAUGUAUUUGUUGAUUUGUUUGCUAUUCACUUGUACAUGUCACAGCUUAUGUGAAUGCAUAGUUCUCAUGUUAUGAAAGUUCUUUAAUUCAUUGUAAAUAUCAUCAUUCUGUAAU